rnacentral:rRNA from 1 species
AGUGAACGCUGGCGGUAGGCCUAACACAUGCAAGUCGAACGGCAGCACAGUAAGAGCUUGCUCUUACGGGUGGCGAGUGGCGGACGGGUGAGGAAUACAUCGGAAUCUACUUUUUCGUGGGGGAUAACGUAGGGAAACUUACGCUAAUACCGCAUACGACCUACGGGUGAAAGCAGGGGAUCUUCGUACCUUGCGCGAUUGAAUGAGCCGAUGUCGGAUUAGCUAGUUGGCGGGGUAAAGGCCCACCAAGGCGACGAUCCGUAGCUGGUCUGAGAGGAUGAUCAGCCACACUGGAACUGAGACACGGUCCAGACUCCUACGGGAGGCAGCAGUGGGGAAUAUUGGACAAAGGGCGCAAGCCUGAUCCAGCCAUACCGCGUGGGUGAAGAAGGCCUUCGGGUUGUAAAGCCCUUUUGUUGGGAAAGAAAAGCAGCAGGUUAAUACCCCGCUGUUCUGACGGUACCCAAAGAAUAAGCACCGGCUAACUUCGUG